GGGCAGAGGGUGGGUGCUGCUUCCAGGAGAGCCCCGUGGCCAAACAUUCCUCGAUGCCCUCCAGGCAGGGGAAGAUCAGCCUUGCUGAGUGCCAGCAUCAGUGCCAGGCCAGCCAGACUCUGCUGUGCAGCCCCAGCCCGAGCCAGCAAAGCCAAAGAUCAUUCCCCAGGACUCUGCUGGAACCUGGCGUCUGCCCUGCCAUCCCUGGCUGCUCAGAGUGCCAGGAGCAGGAUCCCCUGAACCAGGGCCAGCCUGCCAGGGUGGGGCAGGGCUCUGCCUCCCCCACGUCCACGCUUGCCAAAAUCCUGCAGGUUCCCACGUCUGUGGGUGCAGCCUGGUGCCAGCAGUGCCAGCAUGCCCACAGAGCUGUGCUGGGCAGGGGAGCAGGGUGCUGUGUUCCCAGCACAGCAGCACCUGCAGAUGGCCCUGGUUCAGCAGCCCUGGGCUCAGCUCAGUUCCUCUGGAGAGCCAGCACGGUGCUGAAUUGCCUUCCCUCUCUCUGCAAGGUGUGCGAGUUUGGAGCAGCCACCAGAGCCACCAAAGGGACCUUCUGGUGCCAUCACUAAGUGCAAAGGCCUUCCCAGUGUCUGUGCCACCUGCUGCAAACAAACCAGCCUGGCAUCUCACCUGGUUUCCAGUGCAGGCACUGCUCUGCAGAGGGAUCCCCUGUGCCCAGUGUCACCCUGGGGGCUGGCACUGUGCCAGGCUGGGUGUCCUUGGUGUCCCCUCCUGCAGUCGGUGCUGAGCGAGGCUGGUGUGCUGAGGCAGCCCCGGGGGAGCUGGGGCACAGAGGCUGCAGGGAAGGGCUCAGGGCCAGCUCUGCUCCUGCAGCACAGCCUCCAGCGGUGACACAGCUGAGCCCAGCCCUGUUUUCCAUCCUCCUGGCACGGGCAGGCUGUGGGAACCCAAAUCCUCCUUGCUCCGUGCAAGGGACCAGUCACUUCUCUCCAUGGUGGCUAAAUUGCUUCAGAUCCUCCUGUCUCAGACCCCAGAGACAACAGGGACUGAAUGUGAGACUCCCUAAGGUCUGAGAACACUGUCCUGCUCCCACAGACUCUGCUUUGGAGAUCCCAUCUCUGAGGAUGAUGUCCCAGCAGAGGUCUGAGACAGAGCCCCAAGUUCUUCUCUGCCUGUUUGCUCCCUUUGCUGUAGAUGCAGUGGGGCUUGUGGGGGAAAAAA
rnacentral:lncRNA from 1 species